rnacentral:rRNA from 1 species
AUACGUAGGUGCCAAGCGUUAUCCGGAUUUACUGGGCGUAAAGGGCGUGUAGGCGGUCUUGCAAGUCAGAAGUGAAAUUCCUGAGCUCAACUCGGGCGCUGCUUCUGAAACUGCAGGACUUGAGUGCUGGAGGGGAUAGCGGAAUUCCUAGUGGAGCGGUAAAAUGCGCAGAUAUUAGGAAGAACACCGGUGGCGAAGGCGGAUAUCUGGACAGUAACUGACGCUGAGGCGCGAAAGCGUGGGGAGCAAACAGGAGGAGAUACCCGGGUAGCCCACGCCGUAAACGAUGAAUACUAGGUGUAGGGGGUAUCGACUCCCUCUGUGCCGCAGUUAACACAAUAAGUAUUCCGCCUGGGGAGUACGGCCGCAAGGUUGAAACUCAAAUGAAUUGACGGGG